UGGGGAAUUUUGCACAAUGGGGGAAACCCUGAUGCAGCGACGCCGCGUGAUUUAGAAGGCCUUCGGGUUGUAAAAAUCUUUUCUAUGGGAAGAAAAUGACAGUACCAUAGGAAUAAGGACCGGCUAAUUACGUGCCAGCAGCCGCGGUAAUACGUAAGGUCCGAGCGUUGUCCGGAAUCAUUGGGCGUAAAGGGUACGUAGGCGGGUAAGCAAGUUAGAAUUGAAAUCCUAUAGCUCAACUAUAGUAAGCUUUUAAAACUGCUCAUCUUGAGGUAUGGAAGGGAAAGUGGAAUUCCUAGUGUAGCGGUGAAAUUCGCAGAUAUUAGGAGGAGUACCGGUGGCGAAGGCGACUUUCUGGCCAUAACCUGACGCUGAGGUACGAAAGCGUGGGUAGCAAACAGG
rnacentral:rRNA from 1 species